AAACCAUGGUUGGGGCACUUGCGGAGGAGGCCCUUAAAGCGUGCGACAGCUUCAAAGAGGGGCUCGUCAUGUCCUUGCACGAAUUGGGAUAUCUCACUUUUGAGCAU